rnacentral:lncRNA from 1 species
GUCUCAUCAUCAACUGCAUCUUUUCACCGACGCUCUUGACCGGAACAUUUGAAAUUAACAACGGAACUACUUUCUCUGGUGGACUGAAACAAAGCCGUGACAGCUUCAAUUCCUGUUCUGGAGAAAUCUAAUUCAGAUCACAAGUUUUCUCAAAGAUGGAGUUCUUAAAUCUCCUGCCAGAUGAUAUUCAGGAGAGUCAUCUAGCGCAGUCCUUAGUUGUGAUGCUCUCUGUGUUCACCAUAGUCUCAUUAACUAUUACUGGACUGCUUGUUGUAACAUGGAGAAGUCCCGGAUUUUAUGAUUGGGAAGAUUAAGAAUGUUUUGCCAGGGAACUCUUAUCAUGGACAUGAAAUGAGUUCCCAGUCCGCUGAUCGUCAUUCAUAUUGGUAACCAGUCAAGAGACAAGCUCCAUAUAAGAUGAUGAUGACUUGUAUUCACUGCUCCAUAUAAAACCUAUACUCAAUCUUAAAGUGUCAGUUGGGUUUCAUUAUGGACUAAUUUGAGAGGAUUUUCAAGUAUUUUUAUCAAUAUUAUUUCAAAUAUGUUCACAUUAAGAAAUGUGCUUUGGAAGAGGUAUAUAAAGCUUUUAAAAUGUGAAACUUUACUUCUAUGCAUCUAUUACUAUAUUUUUUUGUCUCCACAGAUACUGAUUUCGUUGUUUGUAGCUUUGAGGCUGAAAUGGAUCUAGUUUUCUAAAACGGUUCAGAAAGUAAUAGCUGACCCUAUCCUGAUUUAUAUAUUAUGGCCUAUUGCCAUUUAGUGGAAUAUGUUUGUAGAAAAAUAACUAUAUCAUUAUGACUUUGCAUUUAGAAAUCUGUUUUCAUAAAGUUGGUUAAUCAGA